rnacentral:lncRNA from 1 species
CAGCCCCCAAAAAUAAAAAAGGCAGAGAACAGAGAGCCUUUAUCUGUUCGUUUUGGCUCCCCCUGAACUCCGGCGUCGACCUCAACGGCGAGCCGCCGUGUGGUCACCGUAGUCAAGGGCGCAGGUAAGGUUUCUUCUCGUCCUUUUUUGUUUUAUACAUAUUCUUAUAUACAUUUGUAUAUACGAUUAAAUAAAAAAAAGAAAAGGAAAGAAUAAAUCAGGAAACAAAAUGAAAAAAAGAAAAGAAGAACACCUUUUCUUUUGAUUUUUCGAUUUUAUUGAUUCAUCCCUAUUUUUCUUUCCAAUCGGUUUCAUCCCCCAUUUGAAAAUACAAAUCAAAAUCGGCUUUUAUAGCCGAUGCCCUAUUUCUGUUUUGCUAUUUUUUUCCUUUUUGUUGCGUGUUUCAUUUCAUUUUGCAGGUGGGCAGAAGAAAGCCGUACAGUGGCAGAGUCAGUGGCGCAGCGGUGGCAGGAGGCUAGGGUGCGGCGCAGUAGCACUAAGGUUUGACUUGUUUAUUUUGAUUUGAUGUUUUGGGCUUGGGUUGAGUGGGCUGUUAUGGUUAGAUUUAGGUGGGUUAGAAUUUGGGUCUUCAUUGGGCCAUCUAAUUUGGGUUUGUAAUUAGGUUGGUUUGGGUUUUGGUGUUUGGAUUUUGGAUUUUGGGCCACAGGUAAAUUUGAGCUUGUACAAUGAGAUGAUAGAGUUAAUUUUAUAUAAUGUAGUAUUAGUGUCAAUUUGCAUUAUGUAGUGUUUCUACUUUCAAAAUAUCUAUUUUGGUACAUGAAAUUUAAUUCUGUUCAUCAAUGUGGUACCUCCUAACAAUGUUAAACCCAUAUAUCAAUUGACAUGUGGCGUAAUCAUGGGUGUGUUAGGGAAAAAUUAAAACAAAGAUUUUGAAACAAUUAUACUUUUUCAUAUUUUAAAAAUUAAAAUAAUAAAAAUAAUAACGAAGUUAAUAAAUCACAUUUCUCUUCCUCUUUAGAAAGCAAAGCUUGUUUUUUUUUCUCUCACAAUUUGUCUUUGCCGUUGUUCCCGUUGGAUUUUCGCACCGUUCAAGGUGGAUGGUGGUAGUGAACAGUAGCCUUUGUCCCUUCAAUCCCACUAGCUUAGAGCUCCUUAUAGCAAAUCAGAAACCCUUGAAGAGGUAAAUGAAGCUUGCAACUUUUCCUUUUUCAAUGUGCUUUGCCGGCCGUUGGAUUGGCCUUCAGUCAAGACUAACUGUUUUUGUAGCUUUCUUUUCGUUGCCAUUGUUCGGGUUUCUAGACUAGUACUUGCAGCCCAGAAGGCCAAAAGGGCCUAAGAUGG